AUGUGAUGUACCUAGUAAUAUUAGUGAUUAAUAUGAGAUUAACUAAGUUAAUUAAAAUUCAAAGUAGAUUUUGAUUAUGACAGAAUUUGCUUAUGUCUUGACCAAGUCACGUGCCAGCAGUCGCGGUAAUACGUGGAAGAUAAGCGUUAUUCAUGUUUAACAGGUUUAAAGGGUACCUAGACGGUUAAUUAAACAUAAAAAUUGAAUUAAUUAACUAGAGUUUAAUGUAAGAAAGAUUGAGUACGGUGAGUGUAGUGAUAUAAUACUAUGACACAGCUUUGGAACUGGUAAAGGCGAAGGCAACUUUCUAUGUAAAAACUGACGUUAAGGGACGAAGGCUCGUGUUAAAAAACAGGAUUAGAUAACCUGGUAUUUCGGGCAGAAAAUGAUGAGUGUCAUAUGCAAGACAAAAAGGUAAUAAAAAUUAAAAACCUUUAUUUUUUUUUGUGUAUAAAUGAAAGUGUAAGCACUCCACCUCAAGAGUAACGUGGCAACAUGGGAACUGAAAUCAUUAGACCGCUUCUGAAACUCGUAGUGAAGUAUGUUGUUUAAUUUGAUAACCCUCAAACAACCUUACCACAAUUUGUAUUACUAUUAUAUGUAGUAACAAGCGUUGCACGGCUGUCUUCAGUCAAUGUUGUGAAACUAUGGUUAGAUCCAUGAAAUUGACGUAAACCCUUGCUUUAUUUGAUAGAAAGGAAGCUCGCCGAG
rnacentral:rRNA from 1 species